AACACCUGCCACCCACCCCAUGCAUUGUUGUACGUGGAGAGAGUCCAUUGUCUGCAACAACUUUCAUGGUGGCAGCGGACCAGGAGGUGAUUAUGGAUAACUUGAAGAGCUUCACUGACGCACUGGUUUGCAUGUUCAUGUGUUUUUACAUCUUCAAUAUGCGCUACCCAGUGGAACUCGGGGCCACAAUGGAGUUUCUUCAGAGGUGCAUCUUUAAGAUCAAUCCUGACAAGGGCUCCAAAGUAGAGCGCCAGGAAAAGAA